GUGAUUGCUUUCUGGGUUGCUGACUCAAGGGAACAUUCCUUUGAAGGUUUGACCUCUUUGGGUUCCUCCUGUGAUAAGAAAGGCUCAUUGAUCCUGAAAACCUAAAGAGCCCAGGAUCAUAGUAAGGAAAGAUUGGAAGCUACUGAUAAAGCAGCUCCCUUUCUCAUGAAGAGCAGCACCAUAACAGCCAACUCCCAUAACAUGGUGAUAACCAAGAAUUUGCCAGAGGAGAAGCAACAACAUGUAUAACAGCAUUUACAACUCCAUAAAGUGAUUUAUUCGACUAAGAACUACUAGAAAGCCAAUUUUCCCAUGGAUUCA